rnacentral:rRNA from 1 species
GGGGGGGCAAGCGUUGUUCGGAUUUACUGGGCGUAAAGGGCUCGUAGGCGGCCAACUAAGUCGGUUGUGAAAUCCCUCGGCUCAACCGGGGAACUGCGACCGAUACUGGAUGGCUUGAAGCCGGGAGAGGGAUGCGGAAUUCCAGGUGUAGCGGUGAAAUGCGUAGAUAUCUGGAGGAACACCCGUGGCGAAGGCGGCAUCCUGGACCGGUCUUGACGCUGAGGAGCGAAAGCUAGGGUAGCAAACGGGAUUAGAUACCCCGGGUAGUCCUAGCUGUAAACGAUGAAUGCUUGGUGUGGCGGGUAUCGAUCCCCUGCCGUGCCGUAGCUAACGCGUUAAGCAUUCCGCCUGGGGAGUACGGUCGCAAGGCUG